rnacentral:rRNA from 1 species
UACGGAGGGUGCGAGCGUUGUCCGGAAUCACUGGGCGUAAAGGGCGCGUAGGCGGCGCGGCUAGUCGGCGGUGAAAGCCCGGAGCUCAACUCCGGGUCGGCCGUCGAUACUUCCGGGCUUGAGCACUGUAGAGGCAGAUGGAAUUCCGGGUGUAGCGGUGGAAUGCGUAGAGAUCCGGAAGAACACCGGUGGCGAAGGCGGUUCUCUGGGCCUGUACUGACGCUGAGGAGCGAAAGCGUGGGGAGCGAACAGG